GGGACGAACGCUGGCGGCGUGCUUAACACAUGCAAGUCGAGCGGAAAGGCCCUUCGGGGUACUCGAGCGGCGAACGGGUGAGUAACACGUGAGUAAUCUGCCCCUAGCUCUGGGAUAGCUCCGGGAAACCGGGAUUAAUACUGGAUACGACCACCUUAGACAUCUUUUGUGGUGGAAAGAAUUUCGGCUAGGGAUGAGCUCGCGGCCUAUCAGCUUGUUGGUGGGGUAACGCCUACCAAGGCGACGACGGGUA
rnacentral:rRNA from 1 species